UCCUACGGGAGGCAGCAGUGAGGAAUUUUGCGCAAUGGGGGAAACCCUGACGCAGCGACGCCGCGUGGAGGAUGACGGCCUUCGGGUUGUAAACUCCUGUCAGAAGUGAAGAAUGCCCGCAAGGGUUUGACGGUAACCUCAGAGGAAGCCCCGGCUAACUACGUGCCAGCAGCCGCGGUAAGACGUAGGGGGCGAGCGUUGCUCGGAAUUACUGGGCGUAAAGGGUGUGUAGGUGGCUGAAUAAGUCAAAGAUGAAAUCCCGAGGCUCAACUUCGGAAUCGUCUUUGAUACUGUUCAGCUUGAGGUUAGUUGAGGAGAGCGGAAUUCCCGGUGGAGCGGUGAAAUGCGUAGAUAUCGGGAGGAACACCUGAGGCGUAGGCGGUUCUCUAUACUAAUUCUGACACUGAGACACGAAAGCUAGGGGAGCAAACGGGAUUAGAUACCCCGGUAGUCCUAGCCGUAAACGAUGGACGCUAGAUGUUCCUGCGUUUAUGUGGGAGUGUCGUAGCUAACGCGUUAAGCGU
rnacentral:rRNA from 1 species